rnacentral:piRNA from 1 species
UUGUCACUCAUGGAACUCGGGAAG